UACGAAGGGGGCCAGCGUUGCUCGGAAUUACUGGGCGUAAAGGGCGCGUAGGCGGACAUUUAAGUCAGGGGUGAAAUCCCAGAGCUCAACUCUGGAACUGCCUUUGAUACUGGGUGUCUUGAGUGUGAGAGAGGUAUGUGGAACUCCGAGUGUAGAGGUGAAAUUCGUAGAUAUUCGGAAGAACACCAGUGGCGAAGGCGACAUACUGGCUCAUUACUGACGCUGAGGCGCGAAAGCGUGGGGAGCAAACAGG
rnacentral:rRNA from 1 species